rnacentral:rRNA from 1 species
UCAGUCGACUCCUACGGGGAGGCAGCAGUGGGGGGAAUAUUGCACAAUGGGCGCAAGCCUGAUGCAGCCAUGCCGCGUGUGUGAAGAAGGCCUUCGGGUUGUAAAGCACUUUCAGUCGUGAGGAAGGUAGUGUAGUUAAUAGCUGCAUUAUUUGACGUUAGCGACAGAAGAAGCACCGGCUAACUCCGUGCCAGCAGCCGCGGUAAUACGGAGGGUGCGAGCGUUAAUCGGAAUUACUGGGCGUAAAGCGCAUGCAGGUGGUUUGUUAAGUCAGAUGUGAAAGCCCGGGGCUCAACCUCGGAAUAGCAUUUGAAACUGGCAGACUAGAGUACUGUAGAGGGGGGUAGGAAUUUCAGGUGUAGCGGUGAAAUGCGUAGAGAUCUGAAGGAAUACCGGUGGCGAAGGCGGCCCCCUGGACAGAUACUGACACUCAGAUGCGAAAGCGUGGGGAGCAAACAGGAUUAGAUACCCUGGUAG